CCGCACGCGCGCUACACUGACAGAGCCAACGAGUUCUCUCCCUUGACCGAAAGGUCUGGGUAAUCUUGUUAAACUCUGUCGUGCUGGGGAUAGAGCAUUGCAAUUAUUGCUCUUCAACGAGGAAUGCCUAGUAAGCGCGUGUCAUCAGCAUGCGUUGAUUACGU
rnacentral:rRNA from 1 species